rnacentral:rRNA from 1 species
UGGUUGUCGUCAGCUCGUGUCGUGAGAUGUUGGGUUAAGUCCCGCAACGAGCGCAACCCUUGUCUUUAGUUACCAUCAUUCAGUUGGGGACUCUAGAGAGACUGCCGGUGAUAAACCGGAGGAAGGUGGGGAUGACGUCAAAUCAUCAUGCCCCUUAUGGCCUGGGCUACAAACGUAAUACAAUGGCGUAUACAAGGGGAUGCGAAAGGGCGACCUGGAGCAAAACUCACAAAGUACGUCUCAGUUCAGAUUGGAGUCUGCAACUCGACUCCAUGAAGGCGGAAUCGCUAGUAAUCGCGGAUCAGCAUGCCGCGGUGAAUACGUUCUCGGGGUUU